UUUUUUCUGAGGUGCGGCUCGCACCUGUCUAACUAAAAUAGAGCUAUCCAUUUUAACACGGUUGCAUCGGUUGGCUGUCCAAUAGCGCUUGCGCUAAAAGACAGCCGACACACAACACAAACACUUUUGAUGAUCUAGGAUUCGAAGGAAUUUUUGAUUACGACUGGUAAUGCGGUCGUCUAAAUCUAAAAAACAACUUUUGGCAACGGAUCUCUUGGUUCUCCCAUCGAUGAAGAACGCAGCGAAUUGCGAUAAGUAAUGUGAAUUGCAGAAGUGAAUCAUCGAAUCUUUGAACGCACCUUGCGCUCCCGGCAGAUCUAAUCUGGGGAGCAUGCCUGUUUGAGGGCCGCGAAUUGUUUCGAAUCGAUCUUUUUUUUCUUUGGAAAGAGAAGAACGAAUCGGUAGUGAGGGUUUUGCCAUUUACCGUGGCUCCCUCGAAAUACAUUAGCGCAUCCAUUUGAUAGGCAAGACGGACGAAAGCUCUGAUUUUCGCUCCCUCUCUUUCCUGCCGGGUUUUGAUAAUAUCAGGACUUCGGAGGAAGAGAGGUGGGCAUGGAGCUGGACGCAACGUUUUGCUGGUUGGCGUGCUUCUAACCCCGCCCAUGGCUCUUUUCUUCGGAAAAGAGAAAGGGAUUUUUUCAAUUCAUCGGCCUC
rnacentral:rRNA from 1 species